rnacentral:rRNA from 1 species
AUGAGCAGAGCUGGCAAUCUUCCUGUUGUACAUGCAUGGCCGGCCACAGCUACUCACAUUCCAUGUGCAUGUGCUUGCGCUCUACCAAUCGUAGCAAUGCUUUUUUUUUUCUUUUCUUUUCUUGAUCAAUCCUUUCUAGAGAAGAUGAGCUCACUGGCGUUGUUAGGAAACAAGCGAAGUUGUUUGAUUACUGUUUUUUUAACUUCAGGAUUUCAACUGCCGUUUGGGCAUGGUUUGUUUCAUUGUAAAUGGGUUGCGGUUGCGCUGAUGCCAGCAAGAGGCAUUUUAUUCCUUGGUGCCUAUAAUUGA